UAGAGCCCUACAUGCCGCCCAGCAGGCCCAGCAGCAGCAGAUGUCCAGUACUUCCAGGAUUUUACAGCUGCCCAGCAACAGGGACUUCCACCUCCGCCCAUGCCUGCGCCUAUAGAGUUACCUCUGCCCGCUGCAAUCUCCUCACCAGCAGGCCCGAGAUUCGGAUAUUGAUUUAGACCAUCUAGAUUUUGUGUAGUUGAUACCUUAUAUAGUUUUAUGUGCUUCUUGUUGGUUAUAUAUAUGGAAUUGUUUUGGUGUAUUUUGCAGCUUGCUUGGAAUGGUAAUUUAAGAAUUUCGUGUAUUUUUUUUUUACUGGAAUGGCGUUAUAGCCGACGAAACAUGCCACAAUUCGUCGGCUAUAGUAAUUUUUUUUUUCCAGAGGGUUUAGCCGACGAAUUAUGGUAUGUUUCGUCGGCUAAACACUACUAAAGCCGACGAAACAGACUCUAUGUCGUCGGCUAUAGUUAUUUUUAAAUAUUUUAAUUAUACACUUUAGCCGACGAAACAGAGAUAUUCGUCGGCUAAAGUUUGUCAGUAAAGCCGACGAAUAUUUUCUUCGUCGGCUUAAGUUUGAGAGUAUAGCCGACGACACAGGACGUCGUCGGCUAAAGUCUGGAACAAUAGCCGACGAAAAAUAGUUCGUCGGCUAAAAGCUGGAACAAUAGCCGACGAAAAAUAGUUCGUCGGCUAAAGUCUGGACAAUAGCCGACGAUGGUCUUUAGAUUUGUCGGCUAAAGCCAUCACCGACGACCCUUUCCCGACGACACUAUAGCCAACGAGCCUUCGUCGGCUAAGGUCUUAGCCGACGAAUUAGGAUAACAGGCCGACGAAAAUAUUUCGUCGGCUAAAGUACUUGUCCUGGUAGUGUGUGACAUACAAUUUUGUAUUAUCAUACAUGUUGAACGCAUAUACUUGCAAGAUACAUAAAUAUUUUUGCACAAAAAUAAAUUAAAUAUCUAUUGAUUAUAGAAAUAUAUAUUCAUUGAAAUAAUUUAUUAUGAGGUACAAAAUAGAGAUCAAAUUAUUCAAAAGAAAAAAAUGGAGAAAAAAUAACACGUAUAAAAGAGAAAAACAAUUAAAAAGAUAUAUAGAGUAGCUCAUGAUAGAACAUUUUAAUUUCUUGCAUGAAAAAAAUAAUCAAAAAAUGAAGGUAGGGAUAAUAGAUGUUGACAAACAAAAAGGAAAAAUAAAAAAUAAAAAAAGAAUGAGAGGUCUAUUUAUUGAAUAAGAGCUAGGUAAGUAAUUGAUUGAAAUAUA
rnacentral:lncRNA from 1 species